AUUUUGUUUUUGGUUCAUAAGCGUGAUGACUGGAUGUUCACACCAUUGCUGGACAGGUGCCUCCCUAAGACCUUGUCACAAUAUUGGCAAUUACCUGUGAAA
rfam:Mesocricetus auratus contig165801, whole genome shotgun sequence.